UAAGUGGUAAUCUAUAUCCCGCAAUCAUCUCUCCUGCGAAACCAUAGUGCAAGGUAUAAUCCAGUACUUUCUUUGUUCUUCGUAGUACAUUGAAUUUGUGUUGACUGGCAUUAGAGAAAGUAGUGCGGAACAAAUGACAACAGAGUCGAAAAUGGGUCUGGAUCGAAUGAGGAAGUCCUGCAGUUUAGAUGUCCGCAGUCCAAGAAUGAAUGAUAAUAGGCUGAAAAGAAUGGAGUUAAGCAAGGGAGAAGACGAAUUUGUUACUUUGGGGAAGAAUAUUGGCAAUAGUGGGAAUAAAAGGGCAGUGUUGGAGGGGAGUAUUGUUCGAGCACAAUCUUCAGUUAGAAGAACACGUGAAGGAUUAUUUUCGACAGUGAGUAGUAGUGUGGCUCAACGAAUUUAAGAGGCUGAUAUGGUUGUUGUUCAAAAGAGCACGCAGAACUGAUCACGAUCAAGAGUUAUUGAUCGGCGAACAACUAAGAAGUACUACAAGGGGAAAAAGUCAGAUCAUAUGAAGGGUGCAUACAGAAAAAAUUUCACCUUCAAUCAUGACAAAUGUCCUACUUAAUCUUUCAGAGGCACAGACAAAAUGGGUGAAAAUCAGAAAAAUGUUCUCCACAAGCUCACCGUGCGCUUACCUUGAAUUAUCUUGUUAAGUAUAGUAUGUGCAAAUUGCACCAAAUGUGAACUGGAUGAUUAAUAAUUCGUAGUGAUUGUAAAUUUAAUUUGGAUGUGUCGAACAAGUGACACUGCACUAAAUUUGGAUAAUCUGAAUUGUUCAGCGUUAUUUUUAUAUUAAGUAAUUUGGAUUAUACAUU